CCUACGGGCGGCUGCAGUGGGGAAUAUUGCACAAUGGGGGAAACCCUGAUGCAGCGACGCCGCGUGAGUGAAGAAGUAUUUCGGUACGUAAAGCUCUAUCAGCAGGGAAGAAAAAAAGUCCUUUGGACUUUGGACGGAACCUGACCAAGAAGCCACGGUUAACUACGUGCCAGCAGCCGCGGUAAUCCGUGGGGGGCAAGCGUUAUCCGGAUUAACGGGUGUAAAGGGAGCGUAGACGGCAGCGCAAGUCUGGGGUGAAAUGCCGGGGCCCAACCCCGGAACUGCGUUGGAAACUGUGCAGCUGGAGUGCAGGAGAGGUAAGCGGAAUUCCUAGUGUAGCGGUGAAAUGCGUAGAUAUUAGGAGGAACACCAGUGGCGAAGGCGGCUUACUGGACUGUAACUGACGUUGAGGCUCGAAAGCGUGGGGAGCAAACAGGAUUAGAUACCCUAGUAGUC
rnacentral:rRNA from 1 species